UGACCGCCAUGCUAUCUGGUUUGGUGGAUGCCUUGGGUCUGAAAGUCGAUGAAGGACGCGAUUACCUGCGAUAAGCUUCGUGGAGUUGGAAAUAAACUAUGAUACGGAGAUUUCCGAAUGGGGUAACCUAACUGAGCAAACCUCAGUUGCAUUUUGAUGAAUCCAUAGUCAAAUUAGCGAGACACGUUGCGAAUUGAAACAUCUUAGUAGCAACAGGAAAAGAAAAUAAAUAAUGAUUUCGUCAGUAGUGGCGAGCGAA
rnacentral:rRNA from 1 species